rnacentral:rRNA from 1 species
UACGAGGGGGGCAAGCGUUGUUCGGAAUUACUGGGCGUAAAGGGCGCGUAGGCGGCCUUCUAAGUCGAACGUGAAAUCCCUGGGCUCAACCCAGGAACUGCAUCUGAAACUGCGAUCCUUGAGUACUGGAGAGGGUGGCGGAAUUCCUGGUGUAGAGGUGAAAUUCGUAGAUAUCAGGAGGAACACCGGUGGCGAAGGCGGCCACCUGGACAGUAACUGACGCUGAGACGCGAAAGCGUGGGGAGCAAACAGG